GUCGGGGUAGCUCAGUUGGUUAGAGCACAGCACUCAUAAAGCUGAGGUCGUGAGUUCAAUUCUCACUCCCGACACAA
rnacentral:tRNA from 1 species